rnacentral:rRNA from 1 species
GACGAACGCUGGCGGCGUGCUUAACACAUGCAAGUCGUACGGUAAGGCCCUUUCGGGGGUACACGAGUGGCGAACGGGUGAGUAACACGUGAGUAACCUGCCCACAACUUUGGGAUAACGCUAGGAAACUGGUGCUAAUACUGGAUAUGUGCUCCUGCUGCAUGGUGGGGGUUGGAAAGCUCCGGCGGUUGUGGAUGGACUCGCGGCCUAUCAGCUUGUUGGUGGGGUAGUGGCCUACCAAGGCGGCGACGGGUAGCCGGCCGAGAGGGUGACCGGCCACAUUGGGACUGAGAUACGGCCCAGACUCCUACGGGAGGCAGCAGUGGGGAAUAUUGCACAAUGGGCGCAAGCCUGAUGCAGCAACGCCGCGUGCGGGAGGACGGCCUUCGGGUUGUAAACCGCUUUCAGCAGGGACGAAGCUUUUUGUGACGGUACCUGCAGAAGAAGCACCGGCUAACUACGUG